rnacentral:rRNA from 1 species
CCUUGUCGGGUAAGUUCCGACCUGCACGAAUGGUGCAACGAUCUGGAUACUGUCUCAACCAUGAGCUCGGUGAAAUUGUAAUGCCGGUGAAGAUGCCGGCUACCCGCAGCGGGACGAAAAGACCCCGUGAACCUUUACUACAGCUUCACAGUGGCAUUAAAGAACUUAUGUGUAGGAUAGGUGGGAGGCUUUGAAGCAGUGUCGCCAGAUGCUGUGGAGCCAACCUUGAAAUACCACCCUGGUAAUUUCGGAGUUCUAACCUCGAUCGGUAUAUCCCGGUCAGGGACAAUGUAUGGUGGGUAGUUUGACUGG